rnacentral:lncRNA from 1 species
CCCAACCUCCUCUAUUAGCAACACUAGCAUGGGUGAAAGCUAAAUUGACCGUAUCUUCAGCAUCUUCGGCCUCUUCUGAGCCAUCUCAGAGUGAUACUCUAACUGAAAUCGUCCAAGCCCGCCACAUAUUACUCAAGCUUGCCCAUUUGUCUUUGGACAAUCUUAUAUCUUUCUCUAUGCUUUCUGAUGCCCAAGGAGCCUUAGAGAUUCUAUUGAAGAAUAGCUCAUCUUCAUCAUCCUUGGACUUACCCAAACUGCAGGAAAGCCUAUCCU